CAAUCUGGAUGGGCUUGAAGGAGAUGAUCACCCAUUUCUAAUCAUACUAGAUGUCAGCUCCAAUUUACUAAACAAUCUCGACGCUGGAAAGUUCCGGAGUUAUGCUUCCUUAAGAACAUUGUUUGUAAGCGACAACCCCCUCGAAAGGUUGUCCUCUGGAGUAUUCUACGGAGGACCUUCUC